rnacentral:snRNA from 1 species
AUUGCUUCUCGGCCUUUUGGCUAAGAUCAAGUGUAAAAUCACAUCCUUAUACCAGCAAAUCAAAUUCAACAGUAUAUUAAAAGAAUUAUUCACUACGAUCAAAUGGGAUUCAUUCCAAGGCUGCAGGGCUGGUUCAAUAUUUGCAAAUCAAU